GUCUUUCUAGUAUAAUAAGUACAUUUGGCUUCCAACCAAAAAGCCUAAUUAAAUUAGGAAAGUUA
rnacentral:tRNA from 1 species